GGCGAGAAAGAAAUGUGUGGAACAGAAAAAUGGUGCCAGGGAGGUAUAAGCAACAGGGAGAAAUCUGAAGACAUUCUUUAGCUGAUCCAGACAUGACUUGGAGUUUUAAGAGCUGCCCAGGAGAUUCUAACGUGGUGGCCAGGGCUGCAAAUCCCGCUCUAAGCAGAACAUGGGCUCUGUGAAGGCACAAACCAUGUCUACCUUAUCCACUCCUGUAUCUUCAGAGCCUAGCAUAGUGCUGGGUAAAUGAAAAUGAAUGUGUCAUUUCUCUGUAAGAAUAGUUAUUCACCAAUCAGAGAGCAUCCAUGCUUCAAUUUUUAAAGCCAGAACUUAACACUUUUAUUGAAAUUGUAAUUUACUUAAGGUGUGAGGGGUGCUGGCAAUUUCUUCUUACAAGUGACCACAUAAGACAGUCACGUGGAGGAGGAGAAGAGGAAGAGAAAGAAUAGGAGCCCAGUGAGGUCAGUGAGGUGGAACUGGGCUCCUGAGAGCAGCAUUCUUUACACAAGGAUUUUUCAGGGUGAAAAGUGGG
rnacentral:lncRNA from 1 species